AGGCCCUUGAAUUCCAUAACUCUUAUCGACGAAAUUUUAUUUUGACGACGUUUUUUAAGUCGCCAUCAAAAAAGAUCUCUGGGCAGCUUAAACAUUCAGCAACACCUUACAAUAUAAACAAUGUAUCGUAAUAUUCAUCUCUAAUAAACUUGAUUUGCUAAAUGUCAAAUAAAUAUUGUGUAAUUUUAUUUUAUUUCUAUUUACCGCUUUAUACUUCUCGGGGAAGAAAACGAAGCAUAAGUAAUACGCUACAUAUAUCAAUGUUGUCAAUCCUAAAUGGGGACCAUCCUAUCAUAUAUACUGUAGGUAUUUUGUAGCAUCACCUUAUUCUCCAUUAUGUACUUUAUAGUCGUUAUUUUCCUAUUUUAUUUUUAUUUGGUGGUGGGGAAAGGGGGGGGGUAAUUCUCUGUUUUUUAAACCCAACCAGAUCGUCAUAAAUGAGAAUAGUGAUUCGAAUUAUAAUUGACUAUUUGUUUGUAUUGUAGUCUUUUUAUUAUUAUUAAAAAAAACACAUAUAUGUCAUCCAUAUAAUGCUGCCAUGACUUCUAUUAACAUAGUUUUGCUUGAUUUGUUAAAUGUCUAAUAAAUACUGUAUUUUUUUUUUCAUUUAUUGACCGUUAUACUUCCGCGGGGAAGAAAACGAAGCAUUAAGUAAUAGCUAUAUCAAUGUUGUCAUUCCAAAGCAAAAUGGGGGCCAUGCUAUCAUAUGAUAUAUAGGUAUUUUGUAGCUUACCCUUACUCACCAUUCUUUAUUUAUGGUCGUUAUUUCUCUAUUUUAUUUAUUUUUUUUAUUUUUUUCGGAGGGGGGAGUAAUUCUCUGUUCUGUUAACCCAACCAGACCGUUAUAAAUAAGAAUAGUGAAUCGAAGAUUCAGUUAACUAUUUGUUUGUAUUGUAGUCUUCUUUUUUUUUUUUAAAAAGAUAGGUCAUCCACAUAAUGCUACCAUGGCCUCUAUGAAAAAAGCAACUUAAUUCAUAAUAGACAAGGUGUCUGCAGUCAUUUGCGAAGUAUGUACUCUUAAUUCAUGAAAAAAAUAUUCCAAUUUCAUAAGUAUUGCACAAAGCUGAAUUUAACUCAUUAUAAACGCAUGGACGCACUGAAGUUGAUAUAUCCGUACCAUAAAGAGGAAC
rnacentral:lncRNA from 1 species